rnacentral:rRNA from 1 species
AGGACGAACGCUGGCGGCGUGCUUAACACAUGCAAGUGGUGCGACGAACCAGGGCUUGCCCUGGGGCAAAGCCGCGAACGGGUGAGUAACACGUGAGUAACCUGCCCCGAUGACCGGGACAACCCGAGGAAACUCGGGCUAAUACCGGAUGUGGCGCACAGGCGUAAGCCUGUUCGCUAAAGGAAGCUUCGGCCUCCGCAUUGGGAGGGGCUCGCGGCCCAUUAGCUUGUUGGUGGGGUUAUGGCCUACCAAGGCGACGAUGGGUAGC